CUGCCUUUGAACUGGAAAUAGAGAAGGAAUAGAACACACUCUUAAAGAAAUUAAAGUAAUAAAGCAAAAUGGGUACCACUUUAUUUUAAGAACCCAUUAACCAGAGCAUAAGAGAGAAAGUCAAAAUGGAAAUCUCUGAGAAAUGAACAGGUGAAACAUAUGCCAUUCUUCCCACACAAGCAUUAGUCUAGCAAUCAGCCCAUCCAGAAUAUAUGUCAAAAACAUUUCACAGGGGAAUACUUAAAAAGUAUAUUUUAUAUUCUUAAAGAUAGGGUCUCAUUGAAUUCUCAAUUUAUGCAAAGGACUCAUUAAGAGACUGAAAUAAUGUUUUCAUUUGUUAAUGACAAACCCUUAAUUUAUUUUCUCUGUUAAGCCACUGCAAGUCUUUGGGUUCAGGAUGACAUAAAAUACUUUAUAUGAAAUAAUCUGACUCAUGACAAUUUUAUUCCCUGUAAAUUGGAUGGACACAAAUUUUCUUAAACUGCAAAUAUUAUUCUUGGUGUCAUGAACUGUCAUUGCUUCCUAAAUCUUCAAAAUUUGUUUCAUUUAAAUAUAUUGGCCAAUGCUAGAGUUAAUGAUGAUGAAUACGAUUAAGAUUAAAUUUUUAAUAAACUGGAUUGACUGUAGCCAUGGGCAGAAACCAGCUAUCUACAUGAUGGGAUCUCUGUUGCUUGAAAAGUUUCCUGAAUUAUAAAUAUUUUUCUAUUUGUUCUUAAGGUACCUAAAACUUGGUUUAAAAUUAUUUGUUUAAACCAUUGGUAUCAUAAGGCCACAUUAAUAUACCCAUCAGGGAGGUGUUUUGAGGUAGUACUUUAAUAGGUGUUAUGUUUCUUAAGUUUUUUUUUUUUUUACAGUUUUUAAUUUUAUUAUUUAUUUAUUUUUGUUUUCUCAUUAAACUUUUUAAAUGGGCCUCAAAAUUCUGUGACAAAUUUUUGGUCAAGUUGUUUCCAUUAAAAAGUACUGAUUUUAAAAACUGAUAAAACUGCCGCAAGCAAAAAAGAAAACCAAAGGGGUCCACAAAACAUUCUCCUUUCCUUCUGAAGGUUUUACGAUGCAUUGUUAUCAUUAACCAGGCUUUUACUACUAAACUUAAAUGGCCAAUUGAAACAAACAGUUCUGAGACCGUUCUUUCUCCACCACUGAUUAAGACUGAGAGAUGGGAAGAGCACACGUGUG